rnacentral:tRNA from 1 species
GCCCGAAUGACCCUCGGUGGUCCGGGGUGCAGGCUUCAAACCUGUAGAUGAUUAGUGUCAUAGUGGUUCAAUUCCACCUUUCGGGCG